rnacentral:rRNA from 1 species
GACGAACGCUGGCGGCGUGCUUAACACAUGCAAGUCGAACGGUAAGGCUCCAGCUUGCUGGGGUACACGAGUGGCGAACGGGUGAGUAACACGUGGGUGACCUGCCCUGCACUUCGGGAUAAGCCUGGGAAACUGGGUCUAAUACCGGAUAGGACCGCACCGUGAGGGUGUGGUGGAAAGUUUUUUCGGUGUGGGAUGGGCCCGCGGCCUAUCAGCUUGUUGGUGGGGUAAUGGCCUACCAAGGCGGCGACGGGUAGCCGGCCUGAGAGGGUGGACGGCCACAUUGGGACUGAGACACGGCCCAGACUCCUACGGGAGGCAGCAGUGGGGAAUAUUGCACAAUGGGCGGAAGCCUGAUGCAGCGACGCCGCGUGGGGGAUGACGGCCUUCGGGUUGUAAACUCCUUUCACCAUCGACGAAGGGUUUCUGACGGUAGAUGGAGAAGAAGCACCGGCUAACUACGUGCCAGCAGCCGCGGUAAUACGUAGGGUGCGAGCGUUGUCCGGAAUUACUGGGCGUAAAGAGCUCGUAGGUGGUUUGUCGCGUCGUCUGUGAAAUUCCGGGGCUUAACUCCGGGCGUGCAGGGCGAUACGGGCAUAACUUGAGUACUGUAGGGGAGACUGGAAUUCCUGGUGUAGCGGUGAAAUGCGCAGAUAUCAGGAGGAACACCGGUGGCGAAGGCGGGUCUCUGGGCAGUAACUGACGCUGAGGAGCGAAAGCAUGGGGAGCGAACAGGAUUAGAUACCCUGGUAGUCCAUGCCGUAAACGGUGGGCGCUAGGUGUGGGUUUCCUUCCACGGGAUCCGUGCCGUAGCUAACGCAUUAAGCGCCCCGCCUGGGGAGUACGGCCGCAAGGCUAAAACUCAAAGGAAUUGACGGGGGCCCGCACAAGCGGCGGAGCAUGUGGAUUAAUUCGAUGCAACGCGAAGAACCUUACCUGGGCUUGACAUAUACAGGAUCGCGCCAGAGAUGGUGUUUCCCUUGUGGCUUGUAUACAGGUGGUGCAUGGUUGUCGUCAGCUCGUGUCGUGAGAUGUUGGGUUAAGUCCCGCAACGAGCGCAACCCUUGUCUUAUGUUGCCUGCACGUUGUGGUGGGGACUCGUAAGAAACUGCCGGGGUUAACUCGGAGGAAGGUGGGGAUGACGUCAAAUCAUCAUGCCCCUUAUGUCCAGGGCUUCACACAUGCUACAAUGGUCGGUACAGUGGGUUGCCAGUCCGUGAGGGCGAGCUAAUCCCGCAAAGCCGGUCUCAGUUCGGAUCGGGGUCUGCAACUCGACCCCGUGAAGUCGGAGUCGCUAGUAAUCGCAGAUCAGCAACGCUGCGGUGAAUACGUUCCCGGGCCU